UACAGAGGUCUCAAGCGUUGUUCGGAUUCAUUGGGCGUAAAGGGUGCGUAGGCGGCUUGGCAAGUCGGAUGUGAAAUCCCUCGGCUCAACCAAGGAAGUGCAUCCGAAACUGCUGAGCUUGAGUACUUAAGAGGAUCGCGGAAUUCCCGGUGUAGAGGUGAAAUUCGUAGAUAUCGGGAGGAACACCAGUGGCGAAGGCGGCGAUCUGGGAAGAUACUGACGCUGAGGUGCGAAAGCGUGGGGAGCAAACAGG
rnacentral:rRNA from 1 species